GCAGAGUCACGCCUUAGUGGGGUGGCUCAUGGCUCAUGGUCGCUGCUUAGGACCCAUGCAGGGACACGGAGCCUGCCUGGUGCGCGCCCUGCCAGCGGAGGCUGACACGCAGGAAGCUGAUACCAUUACCUCAGCACUGUGUAAUCUGCCAGUGAAUAUGCAUGAGCACCUAAUUUGCAAGGAUUCAGAGAAAAGUGGGAAUGGAAACAAGAGCUACAGGGAGAGGGAAAGGAGAUGAACAACAUUGAAACAAAAAAAAUAGAAAAAGAGCUUUUGCAAAUGGGAAAGGACUGAGAGAUGGAACGAAGGAGCAGGUAAGUGGAAG
rnacentral:lncRNA from 1 species